CGCCCUGCAGGGCUGGCUGAGCUCUCCCCCACUGCUCACGUCACUAGACUCCGCCUCCCGGAUUUUAUAACAACUGACACAUUGUAGCCUACAGGAGAGCAGAACUCACUGCAAGCAAAAAGGGGAAGAAACGCUCACAAAAGGGAAGGCAGCAGGAAAAGUAAUCGGGUUGAGCUGUGGAAAUGUGUUCUUCAACGUUGGAGGUGGGAUCUGGUGGGCAGUGUUUGGAUCAUGGGGAUGGAUCCCUCAGGAAUGGCUUGGUGUCCACCCCACGGUAAUGGGUUCACAAGAGAUCUGGUUGAUGAAGAGUCUGGGACCUCGCUCCUCUUCCUUGCUUCCUCACUCACCAUGUGAUAUGCCUGCACCUUCCACCAUGAUUGGAAGCUUCCUGAGGCCUCAUCAGAAGCCAAGCAGAUGCUGGUGUUAUGCUGGUAUAGCCUGCAGAACCAUGAGCCAAAUAAAACUUUUUUUUUUCUCAAGAUGGGGGUCUCACCAUGUUGGGCAGGCUGGUCUCAAGCAAUUCUCCCACCUCAGCCUCCCGAAGUACUGGGAUUGCAGAGUGAGCCACCACACCCAACCAAAUAAAACUUUUUUCUUUAAUUACCCAGCCCCAGGUAUUCCUUUACAGCAAUGCAAAAUGGACUAAUACAGGGCCCAGCCAAGCCAGACCUAGGACUAGAGCUUGGUCUCCACAGAUACCCAGAUUGGGAAAAGGAAGAGAGGAAAAAAAAGAGGAAAAGGUCUGUGUCCCCUGAAAAAUCCAUCACCACACACAAUAAACCCACAUCAUCUGGAAUCUUCUAUCCCCAAGAAGAUGUGGGUGUGACCUGGGCAGGCCCCCAGCACCAGGUCCUCACCCUUCCAGUCCUCCCCACAGCCCACCCCAGCCCUCCCGCUGCCCUCCUGUGACUCCUCCUCUGUGAGCCCACUUUUUCCUUGCUGUCUGAGAACCAACUGCUAUUCCCAAUGUUUACCCUUCACAUGGUAGUAACAGAAACCAGAUUUGUC
rnacentral:lncRNA from 1 species